ensembl:snRNA U6 U6 spliceosomal RNA
GUGCCCACUUUGGCAGUACAUAUACUAAAAUUGGAAUGAUACAGAGAAAAUUAAUUAGCAUGGCCCCUGAGCAAGGAUGAAAUGCAAAUUAGUGAGCAUUCCAUAUUUUUU